rnacentral:lncRNA from 1 species
CGUCCCGCAGCUCCUCGAACGUGUCCUCGUCCACGACACCCUGGAUCGACAUCAACCACGGCAAGGCAAACUCAUAGGCCAAGUCAGGCCAAAUUCCACAACCACACGACUAGAGGGGAGGGGAGGGGCCUCACAUCAGUGUACAUGCCGGUGAUAUGAGCGUUGAGCUGCGCCCUCAGUGCUGCGGCUGCCAUGGCAAGGCGAGGAGAAGUCCGGCGGUCUGGGGGACUGAGCGGUGGAGACGGGGGAAAUUCGGCUGCGGAUGCGGCGUGAACGAGGACGGGAUCGAGGAGAAGCGGAGGUUGUAUAGCUGGGCUCACGAGGGUCUCUCACGUAGGCGUUUGGCAGCGAGUGC